rnacentral:rRNA from 1 species
CGUCUAUAUACGUAUAGCAUAUCAAUAAGCGGAGGAAAAGAAACUAACAAGGAUUCCCUUAGUAACGGCGAGUGAAGCGGGAAGAGCUCAAAUUUGAAAUCUUCAAGGUUCUACCUUGACGAAUUGUAGUUUAUAAGAAGUGUAUUUCUGUUAGUGGAGUGGCAAAAGUUCUUUGGAAUAGGACAUCAUAGAGGGUGAGAAUCCCGUAUUUGGUCAUUCCUCCUAGCGUUGUGAUACACUUUCAACGAGUCGGAUUGUUUGGGAAUGCAGUCCAAAAUGGGUGGUAAAUUUCAUCUAAAGCUAAAUAUUGGCGAGAGACCGAUAGCGAACAAGUACCGUGAGGGAAAGAUGAAAAGAACUUUGAAAAGAGAGUUAAACAGUACGUGAAAUUGUCAAAAGGGAAGCGUUUGACACCAGUGUUGUUUUUUCCGAAAAUCAAUUACGAAUGUUUUAUUUUUGAGGAGUUAUGACUUCAUCGGCUUGCUCCUUUCUUUACUGAAACUUUCUUAAUGCACUUUUCGGUUAACAAGUCAACAUCAAUUUCUUUUGUUGUAAAAGGGUAUGAGGAAGGUGGCUUUCUUUUCGGAGAAAGUGUUUAUAGCCUUGUGCCUCUGCAAUCGGAGAGAUUGAGGUCUGCAGCGUAGAUCCUUCGGGGUUAGAUACAUUUGUGCUAAGUUAUAGCUUUUCAUAGACAACUUGUUGACUAUGUUUAGUCUUGUAGCUUACUCGCUUACGCUAUUUUACCUACGCUUAGGAUGUUGACGAGACUGUCGAUCUC